rnacentral:rRNA from 1 species
UGCCAGCCGCCGCGGUAAUACGGGGGGUGCAAGCGUUGUUCGGAAUCAUUGGGCGUAAAGCGCGUGUAGGCGGACAGGUAAGUUGGGUGUGAAAGCCCGGGGCUCAACCCCGGAACUGCGCCCAAAACUGCUUGCCUUGAGUACGGGAGAGGGAUGCGGAAUUCCUGGUGUAGAGGUGAAAUUCGUAGAUAUCAGGAGGAACACCCGUGGCGAAAGCGGCAUCCUGGCCCGAUACUGACGCUCAUGUGCGAAAGUGUGGGUAGCGAACAGGAUUAGAUA